GAUGAACGCUAGCUACAGGCUUAACACAUGCAAGUCGAGGGGCAGCAUGAACAUAGCUUGCUAUGUUUGAUGGCGACCGGCGCACGGGUGCGUAACACGUAUCCAAUCUGCCCGUCACUCGGGGAUAGCCUUCUGAAAGGAAGAUUAAUACCCGAUGGCAUGCAUUUCCGGCAUCGGAGAUGCAUUAAAGAUUUAUCGGUGACGGAUGAGGAUGCGUACGAUUAGCUUGUUGGCGGGGUAACGGCCCACCAAGGCAACGAUCGUUAGGGGUUCUGAGAGGAAGGUCCCCCACACUGGAACUGAGACACGGUCCAGACUCCUACGGGAGGCAGCAGUGAGGAAUAUUGGUCAAUGGGCGAGAGCCUGAACCAGCCAAGUAGCGUGAAGGAUGACUGCCCUACGGGUUGUAAACUUCUUUUGUUUGGGAAUAAAGACGCUACGUGUAGCGUUGUGCAUGUACCUUACGAAUAAGCAUCGGCUAAUU
rnacentral:rRNA from 1 species